rnacentral:lncRNA from 1 species
UUUUUUUUGGUACUAGUAAGUCUUUUUAAAAGAUACGUGUUUUGGAGUUCCUGUCAUGGCUCAGUGGUUAACAAAUCUGACUAGGAAUCAUGAGGUUGUGGGUUCAAUCCCUGGCCUUGCUCAGUGCAUUAAGGAUCUGGUGCUGCCGAAAGCUGUGGUGUACGUCGCAGACUUGGCUCGUAUCCCGUGUUGCUGUGGCUGUGGUGUAGGUCGGCAGCUGUAGCUCUGAUUCGACCCCUAGCCUGGGAACUUCCAUAUGCCAUGCCAUAUAACGUGUUACAAGGUUUAUAACAUACAUAGAAGUAAAAUAUAUGACAGAAGUAUCCCAAAGGUGGGCAGGGAGAAAAUGGAAGAUUCCUAGAGUAUACAUGAAGCAGUAUAAUACAAUUGAAAGCAGACUGUGACAAGGUAAGGAUACAUACUAUACAUCCUAAAGCCAUCACCAAAACAACAAGAAAGUUAUAGCUAAUAAGGCAACAAAAGAGAUAAAAUGGAAACAAGAGGGAGUUCUCAUUGUGGCUCAGGAGUAAUGAACACCACUAGUAUUCAUGAGGAUGCAGUUCAACCCCUGACCUUGCUCAGUGGGUUGAAGGAUCUGGCAUUGCUGUGGCUGUGGUGCAAACCAGCAGCCACAGGUCUGAUUUUUUUCCCCUAGCCUGGGAACUUCCAUAUGCUAUGUGUGCAGCCCAAAAAAAAAAGACAAAAAAUUAAAAAAAAAUUAUUAAUGGAACAAGAAAUAAUCAACCCAAAAUGCGAGAUGAUAAAAGAUAAAGGAAACAAAAGAGCAAACAGAAAACAGAAAACAAACAAACAAAAAUGCUAAAAGUCUUUCCUUAUUAGUAACUACUUUAAAGGCAGCUUGACAGAAAGGAAUAAAAACGCGGUCCAACUUUAUACUGUCUAUAAGAAGACUCACUUUCUAUCCAAAGACACAAAAGGUUUAAAGUGGAAGGAUAGGAAAAGACAUUCUAUGCAAAUAGUAGCCAAAUGGAGCUGAGUGAUUUGACUACUAUCAUACAAAAUACCCUUUAAGUGGAGUUCCUGCUGUGGCACAGUGGGUUGAUGGUCUGGCUCAUCUCUGUGGAGGUGUUGAUUUAACCUCCCACCCUGUGCCAUGGUGGCCAAUGCUGCUGCAGCUGUGGCAUAGCUUGCAGCUAGAGUUCAGAUUCAAUUCCUGGCCUGGGAAUUUCUAUAUAUCAGGGGUGUAGCCAUUAAAAAAAAAAAAAAAGCAGACGAUCCAAAUAGACAAUUCUCCAAAGAAGACAGCUGGCUGAAAGCACAUGAAAAGAUGCUAAUUAUUAGAGAAAUUAAUCACUAAUUAUAAGAAAAAUGCAAAUCAAAACUACAACAAGGUAUCACCUCACAUCAGUCAGAAUAGCCAUCAUCAAAAAUUUCUUUAAAAACAAAAAACGGAACUACCAUUUGCUGCUGGAUCGUCACAGCAGCACCAUUUACAAUAGCCAAGACAUAGAAGCAACCUAAAUGUCUAUCAACAAAGGAGUGGAUAAAGAAGAUGUGGUACAUAUAUACAACGGAAUACUACUCAGCCAUAAAAAAAGAACAAAAACCCAUUUGCAGCAAUACAAAUGGACCUAGAGAUUAUCAUACUAAGUGAAAUAAGUCAGAGAAAAACAACUAUCAUGAUAUCACUUAUAUGCUGAAUCUUAAUUUUAAAAUGAUACAAAUGAACUUAUUUGCAAUACAGAAACAUACAGAUUUCGAAAACAAAUUUAUGGUUACCAAAGGGGGAAAAUGGAGGGAGGGAUACAUUAGGAGUACAGAACUAACAUAUACACACUACUACCUAUAAAAGAGAUAACCAACAAGGACCUACUAUAUGGCACUGGGAGUCUCAACAUUCUGUAAUAAACCAUAUGGGAAAAAAAUUUGAAAAGAAAUGGAUAUAUGUAUAUGUACACCUGAAUCACUUUGCUGUACCCCUGAAACUAACAAAACAUUGUAAAGCAACAAUACUCUAAUAAAAUGUAAAAUACAUAUAAAUAUAUAUUUCAACUAUACUCCAAUAAAAUGUAAAAUAUAUAUAUAGGCAAAAUAUUACAAUGGAUGCUUCAUCGAAAAAUAUAAAUAGAUGGCAAACACAUGAAAUCCUGCUAAACAUCACUUAUCAUCAGGGAAAUGUAAAUUACGACCAUAACGAGAUUCUACUACAUGCCUAUUAGAAUAUUUAAAAUUAAAAAGGAAUUCCCCUUGUGGCACAGUGGUUAACGAAUCCAACUGGGAACCAUGAGGUUGUGGGUUCGAUCCAUGGCUUUGCUCAGUGAGUUAAGGAUCUGGCAUGGCCGUGAGCUGUGGUGUAGGCUGCAGAUGCGGCUCGGAUCUGGGCUGCAGCUGUAGCUCCGAUUUGACUCCUAGCCUGGGAACCUCCACAUGCUGCGGGUGUGGCCCUAAAAGGAUAAGUAAAUCAAUAAAUUAAUAAAAUAAUAAGUCAGGCUUUUUUUCCUCCUCUUUCCUUACAAAUUAGAGGUAGUAAUUACACUAAGAAAAGAUUUCCCACAUAUUUUAAUUUCUUUUUGUAUUACUUUCUGCAGAUUAUUUGUAGGAAAAAUUCAAAGCACUUUCUUGGAUCACUCAUGGACUAAACAAAACACACUUUAUUUUAAAAAUUAGUUAUAGAGUCUCAGCAAAAGUAACACAAAACUUUCAUCAAUUAAAAAUGUAAACAUAAAUGAUUAAGUAACCAUAUUAUCAUUAAUAUGGAAUAAAAUCUGCCAUAAAGUGCAUACAGUUAGGUGACGCUAAAGGGAUAAGGAGAUUUUCUUAAAUCAUCACUUUCAAAAAGUUCUUUGAUAGUUUUCCUAUGAUCUUAACAUAUAACACAUCUUAGUGUUACUAUAACAGACUUUUAGAUUCUAUUCACAGUCAGUCUAUGUAGUGCUUAACUAUUUUCAUAGUGACAAUAAAAUCAGAAUGAUUAUCAUGUGGCAAAAAAAUAAAAAAGAGUGUUCCAGGUUCCAGUAAGAAGGUAAACACUUCAUUUGUCACCAGUUUAGAGUGUCAAGCUUAAGAGUAGUUUCUUCAGUAAGGUACAGAUGUGACUAAUACUCGAUAAAAAGCUCAAAAUUUUAAUUCCUUUCAAAUAAUAGUGGUACAGUUUAUACUGAAACUGUUCUCUGUUUCGACAUAAAAUAACCAGCCUGCAAAGAAGUUUUAUCUGAAGACUAACAAAUGAAAUGAACUCUCAAGCAUUUAAAAUAUUUUAGUUUCACACUUUAAAAAUAUUUCAUGGGCACAACAUACAUAGUUCCCCUC